rnacentral:rRNA from 1 species
CUACGGGAGGCAGCAGUGAGGAAUAUUGCACAAUGGGGGGAACCCUGAUGCAGCAACGCCGCGUGGAGGAUGACGCAUUUCGGUGUGUAAACUCCUUUUAUAUGUCAAGAAAAUGACGGUAGCAUAUGAAUAAGCACCGGCUAACUCCGUGCCAGCAGCCGCGGUAAUACGGAGGGUGCAAGCGUUACUCGGAAUCACUGGGCGUAAAGGACGCGUAGGCGGGUUGGAAAGUCAGGUGUGAAAUCCUACAGCUUAACUGUAGAACUGCACUUGAAACUUCUAAUCUAGAGUAUGGGAGGGGGAGAUGGAAUUAGUGGUGUAGGGGUAAAAUCCGUAGAUAUCACUAGGAAUACCUAAAGCGAAGGCGAUCUCCUGGAACAUUAUUGACGCUGAGACGCGAAAGCGUGGGGAGCAAACAGGAUUAGAUACCCUAGUAGUC